rnacentral:rRNA from 1 species
GACAGAGGGUGCAAACGUUGUUCGGAAUUACUGGGCGUAAAGCGUGUGUAGGCGGCUAAGUAAGUCGGAUGUGAAAGCCCCGGGCUCAACCCGGGAAGUGCACUCGAUACUGCUUAGCUUGAGUAUCGGAGAGGUUGGUGGAAUUCUCGGUGUAGAGGUGAAAUUCGUAGAUAUCGAGAGGAACACCGGUGGCGAAGGCGGCCAACUGGACGAAUACUGACGCUGAGACACGAAAGCGUGGGGAGCAAACAGG